rnacentral:lncRNA from 1 species
AAAUUGUUUAUAUUAAAUUGUGUUAUUUUAAGAAAUAAUAUUUUAUUUGAAUCUCUAAUUGACUUUUCUUGACCGCAUGUAUAUGUAUAAUGUCGUUUCCUAGACGAUGCGGUUUGCAUUGUUGAUGAUUAUUUUGACUGACGUCGCCAUUUAUCAAAAAAAUAUUAAAUUCAGAUUAUAAUUGUGUGGAAAAUAUUUCUGGGACUGAAUAGAAGGAAUGAAGUAUUAUACAGAUUGCAAAUUGCGUGAUCAUAGAGUGAGAGCAUUACACAAGUGUCCCGGCAUCUAAG